GGUCUGGUGGUCUAGUGGUAUGAUUCUCGCUUAGGGUCCACCCUGAGUUUAAUAACUUGCGAGAGGUCCCGGGUUCAAUCCCCGGCCAGACCC
rnacentral:tRNA from 2 species